rnacentral:rRNA from 1 species
GACGAACGCUGGCGGCGUGCUUAACACAUGCAAGUCGAACGGAAAGGCCCAGCUUGCUGGGUGCUCGAGUGGCGAACGGGUGAGUAACACGUGGGUGAUCUGCCCCUAACUUCGGGAUAAGCUUGGGAAACUGGGUCUAAUACCGGAUAGGACAAUCGUUUAGUGUCGGUUGUGGAAAGUUUUUUCGGUUAGGGAUGAGCCCGCGGCCUAUCAGCUUGUUGGUGGGGUAAUGGCCUACCAAGGCGUCGACGGGUAGCCGGCCUGAGAGGGUGGACGGCCACAUUGGGACUGAGAUACGGCCCAGACUCCUACGGGAGGCAGCAGUGGGGAAUAUUGCACAAUGGGCGCAAGCCUGAUGCAGCGACGCCGCGUGGGGGAUGACGGCCUUCGGGUUGUAAACCUCUUUUGACAGGGACGAAGCUUUGGUGACGGUACCUGGAUAAGAAGCACCGGCUAACUACGUG